rnacentral:rRNA from 1 species
CCUACGGGGAGCAGCAGUGAGGAAUAUUGGUCAAUGGGCGAAAGCCUGACGCAGCGACGCCGCGUGAGGGAUGAAGGUCUUCGGAUCGUAAACCUCUGUCAGCAGGGAAGAACGGUCACUGUGCUAAUCAGCAGUGAAUUGACGGUACCUGCAAAGGAAGCACCGGCUAACUCCGUGCCAGCAGCCGCGGUAAUACGGAGGGUGCGAGCGUUAAUCGGAAUUACUGGGCGUAAAGCGCUCGUAGGCGGUAUGUCAAGUCAAGGGUGAAAUCCCCGCGCUCAACGUGGGAACUGCCUUUGAAACUGGCAAACUGGAGUGUGUGAGAGGAUAGUGGAAUGCCAGGUGUAGGAGUGAAAGCCGUAGAUAGCUGGAGGAACAGCAGUGGCGAAGGCGACUAUCUGGCACAUAACUGACGCUGAGGAGCGAAAGCGUGGGUAGCAAACAGGAUUAGAUACCCUGGUAGUC